GAACUGCUAUAAGUAAUGUGAAUUGCAGAAUUCAGUGAAUCAUCGAGUCUUUGAACGCACAUUGCGCCCCCUGGCAUUCCGGGGGGCAUGCCUGUCCGAGCGUCAUUGCUGCCCUUCAAGCCCGGCUUGUGUGUUGGGUCGUCGUCCCCUCCGGGGGACGGGCCCGAAAGGCAGCGGCGGCACCGCGUCCGGUCCUCGAGCGUAUGGGGCUUUGUCACCCGCUCGAUAAGGACCGGCCGGGCGCCAGCCGGCGUCUCCAACCUUUUUUUCUCAGGUUGACCUCGGAUCAGGUAGGGAUACCCGCUGAACUUAAGC
rnacentral:misc_RNA from 1 species